AGUCCUGAGAUCUUGAUUUGGGGCAGUGAAGAACAGUCGGCUAUAUCUUCUUUCCAACAGCAGGGGGCGCACUGGUUGCUGAUUACUACAGCACCUGUCAGCAAACAUGCUCACUGCAGGUGCUGGGUUGAGCUUCAGGGUGCUUUGGAAAGCCUGGCUGAAGGGAAGUUAGCUGCCACACCAUGUCUCCACAAAGGAACCAGGACCUUCUCAUUCUUGUCAGAGGGGCAUGAGGCAGGGGAAUAGCAGGAGGUUGGCUCUGGUCACAAAAGGUACAUUUCCUCUGCCACUGGGCCUUGGAGGAGCUGCCCCAGGCAGAGCAGAAUUCCUGUCUAGCUCCUCCUGGCUCUUCUCACUCUCAGCAAAUUGAAAGUGCUUGUUUGCUCCGUGUGUGUGUGUGUGUGUGUGUGUGUGUGUGUGUGUGUGUGUGUCUGUGUGUGUGUGUGUAUGACAGUAUCUCACCAUGUAGCUCUGGCUGUCCUGGAACUAAACUAACUAUAUAGACCAGGCUGGCCUUGAACUCACAGGAGAUUCCCUUGGCUCUUUCUUCCCCAGUGCUGAGAUUUAAAGUGUGCAUCUCUGCUCCCAGCCCUUGUGUGUAAAGUGGUGUGAGCUACAGAGAGAAGAGGUGAAAGGCUCUCCCCCUCCCUCCCUCUCUCCCUCCCUUCCUCCCUCCCUACUCCUCCUCCAUCUUUCUCAACUCUAAGUUUUCAUUUUAUUAAUCCUGUUAUUAAAAAUUCACACAAGAGUCUGGGGGAUGACCCAGUCAAGAGUGCACACAGCUCUUGCAAAGGACCUGCAUAGGGCGUUACGAAGUUAGAAAACACCGAAAGACCACCCAACUCUAUCCAGUUAUAAUUAGCUGGGUUUUUAUUUUAAGCUGCAGCUGUACUCUGUUCCCAUAGUAGAAAUUAGAACUGAGGCCCAGCUUAAAGUGGGGGAGGGAGGGGAGCUUUUGAAGGCAGGUCACAAUUUCUUUAUUCCUGUGGAAUUUACAGCUAGGUGAGGAACAGCCUCUGUCCACAACAAUAACGGAGUUUACAGGAACUAGAACAAGCAUUUAAUCAUCUCUCAACAGUUUUAAAAUUCUAGGGAGGUAGGCAAGGAGUUGCCAGCAGCUUGCUUGUCUUUCAGGAAUUGAGAAUGGGUGCCUAGCACAAAGUUGAGUUUUCCCGAGCCAUUGUCAGGAGACUCACAAUCACCUGCAACUUCAGCUCCAGGGACCCAACACCAUCUUCUGGCAUCUGUGAGCCCCUGCACUCACAUGCACAUGCGUGCAGACAUGCACAGUAAUAUAAAUAAAUCUUUCUUUAAAAUGCACACAGCCUCCAACAGGCACCGUAACUGUAGGGUCCUUACUCUUGCUUUUGGCAUCCACACUGACCUUCAGAGCUCCUGACCUUCUUCACACUGUCCCAGUCACCCUUUCACUUUUUUUUUGGUGGGGUCGUUUACCUCCUGUAAGCCCGAGUAUGGAUUCACUUUUCUUUCCCCAAUCCAAGAGAUUGUGAACCAUGCCAAGGCCAGGCAUCUUGCCAGCACCAUAACAAUCCUGAAGCCAUAUGCAAUGACGAUGCUCAUGUGGCCUUGCGUGUUCCAGCUUAUUCUUCCCGAACUCCUGUCUUAGAUUCAGUGUUCAGAGUCUCUAGCCAUGCUGUCCUGUGACUGGUGGCUGUGAGUACUAAUGGUUGAGGGUGGAGUGGGUAGAUGAAAGCUUUGUUAGGGUGGCAGAGACAGCACAGUGAAUAAGGUCAGGAGAGACGGCUCAGUGAGUACAGUGCUUGUUGUUCAAGCUUGAGGACCUGCUUCUGAAUCCACAUAAGAGCUGGAUAGGGAGGUAUGUGCUUGUAACCCCAUCUCUGGGUGGACAGAAACAGGAAGACCUGGCAGCUUUCUGUUCAGUGAGAGACCCUGUCUCAAAAAAUGAGGAGAAGAGUGACACCGGAGAAAACUGAUGUCACCUGGCCUCCACAGUCACACCUACACACACACACACACACACACACCAUACACACAUACAAUACACCCACACAACACCCACCAUGCACAUACACACACAGCAUAGUUUUAUUACUGAAUUUUUAUUUUCUUUAACUGUGCCCAGAAUAAUAGGCCGCAGUAAUAGAGUUUAGAAUUUACCAAGUUCUUCCCCAAAACUCUUACAAAAUCAUUUAAUCCCCACGAAAUCAUGCCUAUAAGGCAGGUGCUACCACUGUCCCCCUUCUACAAGGAAGAAAGCCCAGGUCCAGGGAAGACAAAAGCCUUUCUGAAGGCUGCCAGAGAACCCCGGAGCAUGAAUUUAUUUCUCAGUUCUGAGUGUUGAACUCACAGUCUUUUCCCACACUAAGGCAGCACUGUACUAUUGAGCCACACCUCAAGAUCUGUUUUGGAAUUUAAUGAUGUUUCUUUUUCUCUCCUUUAAAAAAAAAGGCUUCACUAUCUAGACCAGGCUGGCCUGGAACUCACUAUGUAGCCCUGGCUGGCCUUGAAGUCACAGAGAUCCACUUGCCUCUGCCUCCCAAGUGCUAUGAUUAAGGGCAUGGACCUUCACGCCCAGCUGACGCUUUCUUUGAAAUAAAUGUUUUAUCAGUUUUUGUAAAUGUACUAUAGAUUAUGGACUCAAGCUCAUAACUAUUAAUUUUACCUUAUGAACAGGGUCACUCAUAUUAGUGCAUGCCUUUGGCUCAUUUCAUCCACACGGGAUAAAUCAGAGGCUGUUUAAAUUGACUUCUUCAUAUUGUAAAACUUUUUAAAAGUUACUUCCACCUUAUGCUAUAUUUUCCUUGCCAUUAACUACCUCCUCCCUCUCCCUUCCUCCUCUUCUUCAUUUUUCAAAAUAAUAUUUUUAUGUUUAAUUGUGGGUGCGCAUGCCCCCCCUCUCUGUGUGGGGGUGUAUGCACGUGCACACACGCACGCAAGCAGAUGUCUGAAGAGGCCAGAAGAGGGCAUCAUGCUGCUGAGAGCUGUGACUGAGGUGUGCCAAGAAUCAGCCUGGCUCAUAGCAGCCUAACCAGCUCUCUAGGUUGCUUCUUUGGUUUCUCUAAGACAGAGUUGCAUGUAACCCAGGCUUGUCUCAAGCUCAGGAUGUAACCAAGGAUAACCAUAAACUCGUCAUUCUGUUCUCUCGUCUUCACCUUCCAAGUACUAUAGUUCACUCUCAUGUCUGGCAGGUGUUAUAUUGUCCAGAUUCUAGAAUUUUCUAUUGUACACAUGUAUUUUUUUCAUGCUUACUCAUCUUUAAAGGUGAAAGUUUUACACAUGCUUUGCAUUUGUUCCCAAACAGGAUGAUGUCAUUCUUUCCUGGCCCCUGCCUGUCCUUGUAGAUUCUGCAGGAAUCUUCCUCUCAUAUUUUAACUGCAGUUUAGUCACCUUCCAGCAUCCUAAGCCUUGUAUGGAAAACACCAUCCACAGAAGAGGUUCCUCUCUGUGCUUUGUGAAGCCACUGUCCCUGGGGGCCAAAGGCUGCCUGGCCUCUAGCCUUACUUCCUGACUAGUGGCCGAAUGGUUGCAGCUUGGCCAUUGUCCUGGGAUUCCAUCUCCAGCGCUGGAGAAGAGAAUUGUCACUCAAGGCCCUUUCAACCUUCCAGCCUUCUACCUGCGUGAAAGAGGAGAGGUGACAGCUGAGCAGAGGAGACGGAGAACACAAGCUGCUACCCGAACAGAUUCUGAGGAACCCUUGACUCCCAGUCUUGCGUGAAGAUCUACUUUCAGAGGCACCUGACAGGGACUCCUGUAUCCCAGGCUGGUCUUAAAUCUGAAAAGUAGCUGAGGACGACCUUGAAUUCCUGAUCCUUCUGCUCUACCUCCUACCCCAGCCAAGUGCUGGGAUUACAGUCCAGUUUUGUUGUAAGACUUUAAAAAAAAAAAAACUACACUUGCUUUUGUUCAAGAGAAACAUGAGGUAAAAAAUAUGUAUUCAUUUUGGUAUAUUUUAAAAUGUGUGUGGGUAUAUUGUCUGUAUGCAUGUCUGUGCCUGUGGAGGCCAGAGGAGA